AAGAUGCUGAGCUGAUCUAAUCUUUUCCUCCUUAUGCAAAAGAUAAGCAGUUUGUUUUGAAUGAUUUUGUUCACUUUCUGUAUUGAAUGUUAUCCAAACUGUGACCUUAAAACCAAAGCACGUACCGAACAGUGAUUUUUGGCAUGCUGUUACAACGCUAGUGAUUAUACAUUUACAGUAAAUGGUUUCCCCAUUAUUAGUAGCCCGCUGAGGGCAACCAUGAUUACAAUGUUUACAAUGAUGAAAACAAGUUUGACAUCCGUGACUUAGAUAGAGUCUUCAAUGAACCUACAAUGCAUGUGGGAGGAUGCUGGAGUACCCGCAGAAAAACCCACACAGCCGGAAUUCCAGCCCCGACCCUCGGGACUGUGACGCAGACGUGGUAAGCUACUGGUUAAGGUCACCAUUCUGCCGCGAACAGUGCAAUUACUUCUAAAGAAAACAGCAAAUACCACUUGGGGUGUAAGUACAAUGAAAAGCUAAGUGAAAACAGAUGUGAAUAUGUCUGAAACGCAUCACCAAACUGACCAUGCAGGUCAGCAUUCCACAAGAGGGGGAAAAAAAGAGUGAAUGUUAGAAAGCUGCUCGGUGAUUCAGACCUGAGAAAUACAAUACUCUGGGUGAUCUAAGUUGCUCCAUAUAUAUGAGGUUAAAGAUGCCCGAGCAUGGAAACACACUUCUCUUCCUAGCAUCCUUUGCGUUUUUGUCAUCAUGGAGAGUUUGUUACAGUGGCAAGAUUCUAGUAGUACCCUUCGAGGGCAGCCACUGGGUAAACAUGGAAAUUUUGGUCAAAGCACUCCAUGCUCGCGGACACUCCAUAGACGUGAUUCGGACCGACAAGAGCUGGUACAUCAAAGACAGCAUGCCACACUACGACGCCAUCACAGUAUCCGUCAACGAAGUGUUUGACUCGGUCUUUGUCAACCCCCUGCUGGAGGGUAUAUUUGCUCUGGAGAGGGAGCAAAGCUCUGUGAUGGCCUUUGUGGGUCUGCAGCUUGAAAUAUUCAAAGCUAUGUCCGGUAUGAGCAAGAUCAUGUGCAAAUUAGCCAGCAAGAUAUUACGAGAUGACGAUUUAAUGGCUCGUCUGAAGGAGCGUCAGUAUGACCUGGUCCUCACUGACCCUGCGCUGGGCACGGGUGUCAUCUUGGCUCAUGCCCUACAGGUACCUUUAGUCUAUAAUGUGCGCUGGAUGGCAAGUAAGGAGGGCCAUCUGGUCCUGGCGCCUUCUCCUUUGUCUUAUGUUCCCAUUGUCGGCUCCGGACUGUCUGAUAAAAUGACUUUCCUUCAGAAAAUCAAGAAUCUUGGGUACUUCGCCAUUGGGGAAUUUCAGUAUAGAUUUUUAGUCAUGCCCCAAUAUCAAGCUGUUUGUGACCAGUUCUUUGGCCCAGAGGUGAGAUAUGAUGAACUUGUACAGAGAGCAGACCUAUGGCUCAUGAGAGCGGACUUUGUCUUUGAGUUUCCUCGCCCUACCAUGCCCAACAUAAUCUACAUGGGAGGAUUCCAAUGCAAGCCUGCUGGACCUCUACCUGACCAUCUGGAGACGUUUGUGCAGAGUUCUGGAGAACACGGUGUCAUCAUCAUGACUUUGGGGACUAUGGUGAGCCAACUACCUACAGAUAUAGGUGAUGAGAUCGCGGCGGCUUUUGCAAAGCUCCCCCAGAAGGUCAUCUGGAGCUACAAAGGUGCUAAACCUGCCACUCUGGGCAACAACACUCUCGUGGUGGACUGGAUCCCGCAGAAAGACCUCCUUGGACAUCCCAAGGUGAAGCUCAUCGUGGCUCACGGAGGGACAAAUGGUGUCCAGGAAGCAAUUUACCACGGAGUCCCAGUAGUAGGAAUACCCCUGUUUUUCGACCAGCAUGACAACCUGCGGCGUCUCACAGAGAGAGGAGCAGCUGUGGUAGUCACGUUAGCCUCAGUGGACAAAGACGACAACUUCCUGAAGGCCCUACAGGAAGUUCUUACUAAUCCAACCUACCGGAACAACAUGCAGAGGCUUUCCAGGCUGCAUAGUGACCAGCCCAUCCCGCCGAUCGACAACGCCCUCUUCUGGAUCGAGUUUGUCAUGAGGUACAAGGGCGCAGCUCACCUGAGGACAGAGUCCUACAAGCUUCCCUGGAAGAGGAGAAUUUGCAGCGACCGAGAUUGGACAUGCUUCCACGGGCUUUCAGCGGCGUAACGUUCUUCUGUGGCCGUCGAAAUGUGCGCCAUAAGCGUCCAAAAACGCGCGACGGAGCCCUGGAUGAAUUUUGUUCCCUUUCCUCGCCCUGCGACUUGAGGCCGGCAACUGUGAGGAUGACGGCCGUAACUCUGUUGUGCCGGAUGUCCGGCAGCUUCUCUAACCGCUGUCCAGAGGUGGGAAGUAACGAAGUUCUUCAAUUCAUUUUUCGGGUAUCUGGACUUGAGUAUUUUUUUUGGGCGACUUUUUACCUUUACUCUUUACUUUAAAAAAAUAUAUAUUUGUACUAUAUACUCCUUACAUUUUUUUCUUUAAAAAUGAGCUCGUUAACUUUUAAAACCUAAAGUUAGCAACGACCCGAAGUAAAAAGCAGAACGCCGAAAAAAACGGAAUCCGGAAGUAAGCGACCAACCAUUGAUCAUAGACAUCCCUCUUUUCGCGUGACUACAGCGACACAAACAUAUAGUGGGGGCAAGGUUUUGGCGCAUUCCAUGUAGCUAAGCUAGUGGGGGCAAAGUGUUGGCUUGUUCCUUGUUUGUGGACAGCACGGUCGGAAACCAAAAUAACAAAGAUGCCUGCACAUUGUGCUGCGUUCAGUUGCACACACGUCGUACGAUCACAACAAGGGAGCGCUGAACUGUGGAUAACCUUUCAUAGUCACAGAAUGGGAGCAAUCCAACUCACCCUGCAGAUGCAACAGAAAGAAGGAGCAGGUGCACGCAAAAAGGAGGCAAAAACUGCUUUUCAUUUUCCUGCUGCUGCAAUGGAUCCAGGCUCGGAGAAAGUGAAGAAGAGGAAGAGUGAAAGGAUGCCAAGAGGGAAGGAGAGCAAGCGGGAGAGAGGGAGGUUGAUCGCCACGGAAACCUAUGGAAAGCUGAUGUGGCACAAAGCCUGAGUAACUGUAUUUUCUAGUAUUAUACAUAUUCUUCCCGGAUAAGUAGGACUUUUUAAACGGAUGAAUUUACAUUGACUUCAAACAAUCUAGUUGAAGGAAUUCAACCUUCACUUGUAAACCUUCCUCUUACAACCACAACCACUAAAGUAAAAUACUCUUAAAGUUGGAUAUUUUAUUUAACUCAUUUUGCAUUUUUGUUCAUCAACUGCAGAGUGUACACUGAAAAAGAAGUCCUUUGAAUUUACUUAAUUUGAAUAUGUACAUUAGUUGCGCAAGAUUAAAAUGUGUUAAACUAACAUAUAGCAUUUGAUUAUUAUACAGGAAAAGAGGAUAAAAUUAUACGGGGCCCCAGACAUGACAUGAGGGGGGGGAUAACUAUUUCGUGCGCACAAACUACUACAUUGUGCGCAUGAACAACUACUUUGUGUGCACAAACUACUAUAAUAAACUAUUAUGCGAAGUAUUACUUUGUGCGCACGAACUACCACUUUGUGCGCACAAAAUAGUUAUUCUAUAUGUACAAAGUAGUUGUUUGUGCUCACGAAAUAGUUACAGGGUGUGCACGAAGUCCAUACUGGACAGGAGGGUAAGGAAAUCGAACGCACCCUCUUUCGAAGUUGAAAGUCGAGGCAGCGUUGGCGUUCCGACAAACACACAACGAGUAGUCUAAUACUCGCUGUAACAAAGUAGCAAACAUGGACCCAAUCAAAUAACUGCCUAAAUGUAGGCUCUCCAGAUUUUAAUGCACCACACCACUCGGGGGGGCACUGAUACACGGGGUAGGGCCAAUGACUGCCACUCGGGGACCUGGCAGUCAUAGUAACAGGGGGGGGGACGUGGGUCUCACUUACUUGCAUGGGGGUGCUCCUGAAGCCGGGCCCCCCGGGCUGGAUGACUGCUUGGUGUUGGGGCUGACCUCUCAUGGCCCGCGGCUGCUCCUUUGGUUCCCCCCCCCCCCUUAUCGUUCCCUUGUCGGGUGCCCCUAUCCGCCCUCCUUUCCAACCAACAUUUGUUGCUCUCCUGGGGAUGGAG